rnacentral:tRNA from 1 species
GCAGUGGUAGUUCAGUGGUAGAAAUCUCACCUUCCGUGCCGGAGUUCUGGUUUCGAUUCUCAGCCAAUGCA